CAGAACAAUAUAUAAAUAUCUCAAGAAAUAGCACAACAACAAAUAAUGAACAAAUGCAUGAAUGCAAUGCAAUGCACAUUCCAUGCCCACUGCGGCAUUAACACCGAGCCAUACAUAUUUAUUUAUCGUCGAUGGUGAUCAAUGGAGGUGUGUACAGACUCCGAAGGGCCUCGCACAGCCCAAACGCAAUAUCAAGUCAUCUCGUGGCAUCAAAUCUAGGCCAUCGGCCUCAUAUCAGUAUCAGUAUAAUCAACCAAGCUCUCAUCCUCAAUAUCAAGGUAAUCAACCAGGCUCUUGGCCUCAAUAUCAAUCUAAUACACUAGGCCCUCAGCCUCAAUAUAAAAAUAGCACUGCUGCGGCGCGUAUCCCGAUCCUUGCUCAGUCCAUAAAUCAUCAUAAGCCCCUUGGGCAUUUGUAUAACAGUCUAUCUCAGCCUGAAAUAUCAUUUGAGUUUUCAAAUCUUAUAAAGAUGAAUGAGUUUGCAAAAUAUCAUUUGAAACCUUCGAUUGAGAUUAAAUAAUAUGCAAAAUAUACGAAAACAGUGAUACUAAUCCCUGAGGGAUUCAAAUAAUUGGCACAAAGCCCAAAUAUAACAAAUAAAUUAAAGUGGGAUAAUUAUCAAAUAAGGUCUAGUCGAAAACAUAGUAGAAACAUCUCUCGGGACGGACCAAGUCACAAUCCCUAAUAACAAGUGACCCCGCACUCGUCAUAGGGUGCGUGUCUCACCUCAAUAUAGCACUACGAUUUGUAAUCUGAGGUUUCAAACCCUCAAGAUAUCAUUUACAAGCAUUACUCACCUCGAACCGGUAAAAUCUCUAGUUCGCGAUGCCUUUGCCCCUCAAAUCGGCCUCCACAAGUGUUGAAUCCAACUACAAUCAGAGCGAAUACAUAACAGUAUGCUAAGGGCACAAUCGAAAACAAUCAAAAAUAGCGAAAAUCUUGAAACAAGCAAAAACCGAGCCCCGGGCCCACGUCUUAAAAAAUUAUAAAAUUCACAUCAAUGGAUUCAUCAUGUCAUCACGAGCUCAUACAUACCUAACUACCAAAUCCGACCUCAAAUAGCCCUUCAAAUUCAAAAUUUAAAAUCCCAAAACGCAAGCCCUAGUUCUUCAACUUUUGGCUUAAUUCCAUGUAUUUCUAGGUGGAUUUCAUAAUAAAAAUGAGUAUGGAGUUCAAAAAUCUUACCUCCAAGUCAUUCUUUUCGAAUUUCUCUUCAAUUGCUCCCAAAAAGCUCUCAAGAUGCUCAACAAUGGAGUAAAUUAUACUUGGUUCGCUGAUGAAAUGAUAUAAAAAAGACCAUUCAAAUGUUUUAUUCAAUGCGAACGCAAUCAACACCCCAUAUUCGCUUGAACAUAAAACGCUGACCAAAAUUUAUCCCUACGCGAACGCGGCUCCCAGCCCGCGAACGCGAACCUUCAGGACCUCCAACUACGGGAACGCGUCCCUAUGGCCGCGACCGCGAUCAACCAAUACUCAGGGCCUUAAAUUCCUUUUAUGCGAACGCGUAAUCCCCACCGCGAACGUAAAGCUUCGCCUUUUAGAACUACGCGAACGCGAACCUAUGCAACGCGAUCGCGAAGACUAAAUUCCAGGCCACCCAAAUUUCCUCUACGCGUUCGCGACUCACCCAUGCGAACGCGAAGAGCAAUUUUCUUCUGCAACACCAACGUCUAAACCUGCUAUCUUUAAGUCCAAAAAUGGUCCGGUUGACCACACGAAAUCAUCCCGAGGCCCUCGGGACCUCAACCAAAGGUACCAAUAGAUCUUAAAACAUUAUUCAAACUUGUUCCAAUCAUCAAAACACAUCAAACAACGCUAAAACCAUCAAAUCACAUCGGAUUCAAGCCUAAGUUUCUUAGAAGAUUCUGAAAUACUCAUUUGAUCAAAAACCUGAUCAAAACCCCUCCGGAUGACCUGAAAUUUUGCACACACAUCCAAAAUCACCUAAUGAAACUACUGCAACUCUCUGAAUUUCAUUCCGACCUUUGGAUUAAAAUCUCAGCUACUAACAGGAAUUCUCCAAAGUGCUAACUUCGCUAAUUCAAGACUAAUUCCACAACGGACUAUCAAAAUCAAUUUUGAUCGCACUUCAAAUUGACAAAUCAUCCCUUGAAGCUAACCGAAUAUCCGAAAUUUACAUCCGAGACCUCUAUCAUAUAAGUCAAUGUCCGGUUAACCUUUUCAACUUAAGCCUUCCUUAAAGAGACUAAGUGUCUCAUUUCUUAUCAAAACCAAUCCAAAUCAACCCCAACGCACCAAAUACCGAUAACAAAACAUGAAGAGGCAUAAAAUGUGAAAAACGGGGAGGUAUCUCCUGAGACAACGGAUUAGAUCGUCACAAAUUACUACUCCUAACAUAGUUCUAAAAUAAGUGAAAGUUUGCCAAGAAGAAUAAGUAACUAACCUUUUGAACUUGUGCCAUCCGUAAAGGAUCUUCUGAGAUUAUAGUGACAAAGUUAUAACAUAAAAGUAAUUCAAUUAAUGAACUUCUAAUAUCCAGAAUUUAGAGUUAACGACAAGAAGUUAUUAUACCAAACGGAGAUAUUUAACCACUAAAAUGCUGAAUUUAACAUAAAAAAAAAACAGCAGCAAACAAAAGCCAAACUAAUUAGGGGGUAACUCCAGUUUUAGGAAAACAAAAAAAAAAUAUCAGCGCAAUUCAUAAGCCUUACUCAAUGUUCGACAGAAAGAAACAGACAAGAUAGACUUGAUAUUCAAAACAUUAGGAUUCCACCAGAUUUCACAUGUCCAUAGCAUUAUCACUCAAACAUUCUUCACAACCAAAUAGUUGACAACAGAAAAUCGACAGACGCACCUAACAAUUGCAGAACAGCAGUAGAAGACCAAAUGACGGAAUACUAACAGAGGAACAGGUGAAUCAACAUGACAGGAACAAAAGAAGCAACAACAGCAGCGAUUCUACAGAUCAAAUAGCACUCAGAUUUUCAAUCGGAACUCGGCUUGGAGCCUCGAACAAUGAGCGACAACAACGCCACUCAAUCAGGACCCAUUUUUGUAGCAGGCUUCUAAAUUGGAAUUAUCUUGAGUAAGCCAAAUAAAGGCAGAGGUAGCAGAAACUGCAAAAUAGGAAUUUGAUUAAGCAAAUCCAGACCUCAGCUAUGUAACAAUCAAGCCAAUCCAACAGCAAAUGCAAACUCACGAGCCCACUUAAGCUUGGAAUUCCCAGAAAACUGAUUGAACAAAGAAAAAUUAAAGGCAGGAGUGAACUCGAACGAAGCUCAACGGUUCCUGAAAUAGUAACUUCAGCGGAAUCGAACAGCAAUUUGAGUUCAAAUAAAACUAACAGCUUUGAACAAAUCUUUGGCAUAAAUUUGAAGUUCAAAAUCACUCCAUACUUAAGAACAGAAAUCAAAAGUAGAAAAAGAUGAUUGAAACAAAAUUUUCUUUUUUUUUUUGGUGACGAAAACAGAAAAAAUAGGCCCAAAAUCUGAGGACUCUCCAAGCCCUCCAAUUUUUUCUAAUUUCCAUCCCCUUAGGACAUGGGAGUCACCUCAUAUAUAUAGCCUUCAAAAAAUCUGCCCAAAAAUCCGAAAAAUCCUUCAAGUUUUUGAACAAUUUUGCGAUAAAUGGAGGGCGUGGAUUGAUUCACAUCUGUCCACGGCUCCCAUUCAUCCAACAAUUGUCCUUUUUGCACAAAAAUUCGUGAUUUUGAGGGAAUAAUCGUACUCUUCUCUAACAAAUCCGUUGGAAAAGAAAGGUGACGUAGAGAAGGGGACCCGCUUGAGCGAACUCGGGCGAAUUGAUGGCAGAAUCGUUCGAAAAGAAAGAUGAAUAGUAGAGGGGCCCCGCAUCCGAUUUGUUAGGGUUAAGGAAUUUGGGGGAAAAUGUGGCUUAUGUUUAUUAGGGGGGAAAAGACGCGAGCCCUU
rnacentral:lncRNA from 1 species